GCUUAACACAUGCAAGUCGAACGGAAAGGCCCUGCUUUUGUGGGGUGCUCGAGUGGCGAACGGGUGAGUAACACGUGAGUAACCUGCCCUUGACUUUGGGAUAACUUCAGGAAACUGGGGCUAAUACCGGAUAGGAGCUCCUGCUGCAUGGUGGGGGUUGGAAAGUUUCGGCGGUUGGGGAUGGACUCGCGGCUUAUCAGCUUGUUGGUGGGGUAGUGGCUUACCAAGGCUUUGACGGGUAGCCGGCCUGAGAGGGUGACCGGCCACAUUGGGACUGAGAUACGGCCCAGACUCCUACGGGAGGCAGCAGUGGGGAAUAUUGCACAAUGGGCGGAAGCCUGAUGCAGCAACGCCGCGUGCGGGAUGACGGCCUUCGGGUUGUAAACCGCUUUCGCCUGUGACGAAGCGUGAGUGACGGUAAUGGGUAAAGAAGCACCGGCUAACUACGUGCCAGCAGCCGCGGUGAUACGUAGGGUGCGAGCGUUGUCCGGAUUUAUUGGGCGUAAAGGGCUCGUAGGUGGUUGAUCGCGUCGGAAGUGUAAUCUUGGGGCUUAACCCUGAGCGUGCUUUCGAUACGGGUUGACUUGAGGAAGGUAGGGGAGAAUGGAAUUCCUGGUGGAGCGGUGGAAUGCGCAGAUAUCAGGAGGAACACCAGUGGCGAAGGCGGUUCUCUGGGCCUUUCCUGACGCUGAGGAGCGAAAGCGUGGGGAGCGAACAGGCUUAGAUACCCUGGUAGUCCACGCUGUAAACGGUGGGUACUAGGUGUGGGGUCCAUUCCACGGGCUCCGUGCCGUAGCUAACGCUUUAAGUACCCCGCCUGGGGAGUACGGCCGCAAGGCUAAAACUCAAAGGAAUUGACGGGGCCCCGCACAAGCGGCGGAGCAUGCGGAUUAAUUCGAUGCAACGCGUAGAACCUUACCUGGGUUUGACAUGGAUCGGGAGUGCUCAGAGAUGGGUGUGCCUCUUUUGGGGUCGGUUCACAGGUGGUGCAUGGCUGUCGUCAGCUCGUGUCGUGAGAUGUUGGGUUAAGUCCCGCAACGAGCGCAACCCUUGUUCACUGUUGCCAGCACGUUAUGGUGGGGACUCAGUGGAGACCGCCGGGGUCAACUCGGAGGAAGGUGGGGAUGACGUCAAGUCAUCAUGCCCCUUAUGUCCAGGGCUUCACGCAUGCUACAAUGGCUGGUACAGAGAGUGGCGAGCCUGUGAGGGUGAGCGAAUCUCGGAAAGCCGGUCUCAGUUCGGAUUGGGGUCUGCAACUCGACCUCAUGAAGUCGGAGUCGCUAGUAAUCGCAGAUCAGCAACGCUGCGGUGAAUACGUUCCCGGGGCUUGUACACACCGCCCGUCAAGUCAUGAAAGUUGGUAACACCCGAAGCCGGUGGCCUAACCGUUGUGGGGGAGCCGUCGAAGGUGGGACUGGUGAUUAGGACUAAGUA
rnacentral:rRNA from 1 species